rnacentral:rRNA from 1 species
AAAUAGGGACUUGUAUGAAUGGCCACACGAGGGCUUUACUGUCUCUUACUUCCAAUCCGUGAAAUUGACCUUCCCGUGAAGAGGCGGGAAUAUGACAAUAAGACGAGAAGACCCUAUGGAGCUUUAAUUAACCGACCCAAAGAGACCUUGAUAAUCAACCGACAGGGAUAACAAACCUCUACCAUGGGUCGACAAUUUAGGUUGGGGUGACCUCGGAGAAUAAAACAACCUCCGAGUGAUUUAAAUCUAGACUAACCAGUCGAAAGUAUUACAUCACUUAUUGAUCCAAAAACUUGAUCAACGGAACAAGUUACCCUAGGAAUAACAGCGCAAUCCUAUUUUAGAGUCCAUAUCGACAAUAG